rnacentral:rRNA from 1 species
GGGCUAACCAUGCAAGUCGAACGGUAGCACAGAGAAGCUUGCUCUCGGGUGACGAGUGGCGGACGGGUGAGUAAUGUCUGGGAAACUGCCUGAUGGAGGGGGAUAACUACUGAACGUAGCUAUCCGCUAAGUCCAAGCCAAAGGGGGACUUGGGCUCUUGCCAUAGAUGGCCCAAUGGAUAGCUGUAGUGGGGAACGGUCCCUAGGGAGACCCUAGCUGUCUGAGGGAUGCCAGCCACACGGAACGAGACACGGUCCAGACUCUACGGAGGCAGCAGUGGGAAUUUGCACAAUGGGCGCAAGCCUGAUGCAGCCAUGCCGCGUGUAUGAAGAAGGCCUUCGGGUUGUAAAGUACUUUCAGCGGGGAGGAAGGUGUUGUGGUUAAUAACCACAGCAAUUGACGUUACCCGCAGAAGAAGCACCGGCUAACUCCGUGCCAGCAGCCGCGGUAAUACGGAGGGUGCAAGCGUUAAUCGGAAUUACUGGGCGUAAAGCGCACGCAGGCGGUCUGUCAAGUCGGAUGUGAAAUCCCCGGGCUCAACCUGGGAACUGCAUUCGAAACUGGCAGGCUGGAGUCUUGUAGAGGGGGGUAGAAUUCCAGGUGUAGCGGUGAAAUGCGUAGAGAUCUGGAGGAAUACCGGUGGCGAAGGCGGCCCCCUGGACAAAGACUGACGCUCAGGUGCGAAAGCGUGGGGAGCAAACAGGAUUAGAUACCCUGGUAGUCCACGCCGUAAACGAUGUCGAUUUGGAGGUUGUGCCCUUGAGGCGUGGCUUCCGGAGCUAACGCGUUAAAUCGACCGCCUGGGGAGUACGGCCGCAAGGUUAAAACUCAAAUGAAUUGACGGGGGCCCGCACAAGCGGUGGAGCAUGUGGUUUAAUUCGAUGCAACGCGAAGAACCUUACCUGGUCUUGACAUCCACAGAACUUUCCAGAGAUGGAUUGGUGCCUUCGGGAACUGUGAGACAGGUGCUGCAUGGCUGUCGUCAGCUCGUGUUGUGAAAUGUUGGGUUAAGUCCCGCAACGAGGCAACCCUUAUCCUUUGUUGCCACCGGUCGGCCGGGAACUCAAAGGAGACGCCAUGAUAACUGGAGGAAGGGGGGAUGACGUCAGUCAUCUGGCCCUUACAACCGGGCUACACCGGCUACAAGGGCCCAACAAGAGAAACGACCUCCGAAACCAGCGAACUCAAAAGGCCUCGAAUCCGAAUGGAACGCAAUCGAAUCCUGAAUCGGAAUCGCUAGUAAUCGUAGAUCAGAAUGCUACGGUGAAUACGUUCCCGGGCCUUGUACACACCGCCCGUCACACCAUGGGAGUGGGUUGCAAAAGAAGUAGGUAGCUUAACCUUCGGGAGGGCGCUUACCACUUUGUGAUCAA